UUAAGAUAUUUGUUAAGAAAGUUGUUUUGUUUUCAUAUUAUUAUAAUUAUGUAUAACCUAACCUGACCUAUAUCGGUUUUUUCGUUACAAAAUAUUAGUGUUCAAUUAUUAUUUUCACACAGUUACACCGAGUAGAUAACGCCAGCGACUUGCUCUACUGGCUGUUUACCAGUUUUUGCACAAAAAAUGUAGCUAAAACAAAAUAAAUGUAUAUGUACUUGAAAAUCGCUUCCCGUCAAUAAUACACAUCGAAGAUAAACACCGACGUCGUAAUAAUUUAAAAUCGAAAAAUGAUAUUAUUGUUCAAUGUGGCCUCGUGAACGUUUAUUUAACGUGUUACCGUCGUACGGCCUCUCCGCCACUGUUGAUUCGGAUCCGGACGCUCUACGGGUCUAUAGUACUGUCUGGUCGCGGUUUGAACGAAUGAUGAUAAGCGAAACCACGUCUCGGUGGCAAUGCCGGUGCAAUUGUGUGGCAAUUACACACACUUUGGAACUACAAAUAAAAGUACAUAAUAAUAUUCUACUCGACAGUAAAAGAUUCAUAGUAGCCCCACACGGUGUCGUGUCGGAAAUUCAUUUUUAACGACGAGUGAAAUUGUUUUUGUUAUAUUCUCUACAACAAUACUAAUAUCGAGUGUAAAAUGGUCGACAAUUAUUACUGUAAAAUAUACAAGCAAUGUCAAUUUGUUUCAUCCGAAACCGUGUGGAUAGUAUAAAAUAAAACAUUAAAGGACGACAAGGCAAUAAAGGAAGUACUCGGUAAUUAGUCACUAAUUAAUAAUGCUUUAAUUUCAUUGGGGCAAAUAUCGAUAUCAAAAAAAGAACGACUUCCAGAAUGGCAUAUAUGUAAAGCAACAACACAUCUCCAGAAUAAUUGCCCAGAGAAGGAGAAAAAAUAAUUUUUAUAUAUUUUAUAAAUGUUAAAUAAA